rnacentral:rRNA from 1 species
GAUGAACGCUAGCUACAGGCUUAACACAUGCAAGUCGAGGGACCGGCGCACGGGUGAGUAACACGUAUCCAACCUGCCCUUUACUCGGGGAUAGCCUUUAGAAAGAAAGAUUAAUACCCGAUAUCAAGGAUGGGGAUGCGUUCCAUUAGGUUGUUGGUGAGGUAACGGCCCAGCAAGCCUUCGAUGGAUAGGGGUUCUGAGAGGAAGGUCCACCGCAUUGGAAAUGAGACCCGGUCCAUACUCCUACGCGACGCAGCGGUGAGGAAUAUUGGUCAAGGGGCGGUAGCCUGAACCAGCCAAGUAGCGUGAAGAAUGAAUGCUUAUGGGUCGUAAACUUCUUUUAUAUAAGAAUAUGUAUUAUAUGAAUAAGGAUCGGCUAACUCCGUGCCAGCAGCCGCGGUAAUAC